AAAAACCCUAGAUUCACUAGAAGACAAGAGACUUGUGGUGGUCUGGUUG
rnacentral:sRNA from 1 species